CACGUAGGCGGCUCUUUAAGUCAGGGGUGAAAUCCUGGAGCUCAACUCCAGAACUGCCCUUGAUACUGAGGAGCUUGAGUCCGGGAGAGGUGAGUGGAACUGCGAGUGUAGAGGUGAAAUUCGUAGAUAUUCGCAAGAACACCAGUGGCGAAGGCGGCUCACUGGCCCGGUACUGACGCUGAGGUGCGAAAGCGUGGGGAGCAAACA
rnacentral:rRNA from 1 species